ACCUGCUUACAAAUCAUAGAUAGCUUGGUAUCAUGCCAAGGCUAUUCAGCAGGCAGCUAAAAGAUCUGUGUGCUGGUCCAUAUGAAGGCCAGGUGACUUUCAAGGCAACCUCUUUUCCAGGCUUUGCGUAUCACCUGGGAGGCAGCUGAUACUUGCAGUCUCCAACCUUCUUAAAAGGCCUCCCCAUCCUUUGUUUCAUGAAUUUAAGCCCUUCUCAUGAGCUUUUUCCAGGCUGAGUGCUUCCUAACACCUUGCACACACAGCUCACAACCCAAUAUGAGCCAGUUCCAAUGGCCUCUGCUCUCUUUUGGUGGGUCAGCUCCCUCAUCUCCUCUGGCAUCAGCUCUAUGAAAUAAAUAGAUACUACAGGCACAGCAAAGCAUGAAUGCUCAAGUAAUGAUACUAUGUAAUUUCCCCACUCUGAACUUCUUUCCAGAGUCUCUUAUAUGCGAGCUUGGAUUCGAUUGAAUAUAAUUGGAUGUGUCAUUUGCUCAUACAUACUUAUCCUAGGGAAAUAGCAGCUGGUGCACAUUCAAAGGGCUGUGGAGACCACUCCAAACCAGUGGGAGUUAGGCACUCAACAUCUCUACAGAUCUGGAUCACAAAGAGUGUAACACAGAGUUAACAGCAGGCAAUCCCUACAGCAUCAUCUUGAAGACAUGUGGUCUGGCGCCAAAGAGGUUCGUUCACCUCACAGCCAUUGAGGAAAUAUAUUUAACGCUAGUGCAUGAGGGGACUUAGGGUGUCCCAGGCGUUGGGGAGCCGGUACCGGGGACUUCUCUGGCGGCUGGACUGUGCAGCCCCUGCGCUGCCGGACAGACUCCGUUCUGCUGCCCCCCUCUGCUGUUCAGCGCAGAAAACAGCACACUCCUCUCCCACAUCCCAGAGCACUUCCUGUUUAGCUGGUUUGCUUCUUUCUUUGACCGGGUCUGGAAGGGGGGGCGGGAGGGGAAGGGAGCAUAGCUGCAGCUCGGUGUGUUUGUUGUGCUUGGCAGCUGGCUGCAAAUGAGAAAGGAAAUAAUGCCGAUUUCCUACGCACGGAGUAACGCCAAGAAACUUGGAGGGGGCUCAGAUGUAAGAAGUUGGCACAUCCUCUGGAUUAAAGCCCUUCAGGAGGGCUGUAAAUGAGCUGAUGGCAUUUGGACUCUGCCCACCCGUAAAUGUCUAAGACAGUGAGGGUUGCAAAAGGCCUGGGCAGUCUGACGUUCCUGCAUGGAAAGCAGCAGCAUUCCCAUCCUGAGCAAAUAAAUAUGGAGAACUGAAAGGUU